rnacentral:lncRNA from 1 species
AGCAACUAUCAUGUUUUUUAUUAACUAACUAAUCAUAAGAUAUUCAAUUCUAGCGAAACAGAUGGGUUCCUUUUACUCAUUUCCUGUUGUCUUCUUGAUUAUAAUAGCUUAUCGUUUAGCAUUACUUUUCUUCUUCUUAAAAUCUCGAUAGACUUGCUCUUCUGAUUCUUGUUAUGGUGUAACCAGCACUAAGUUGUGUCAGAAUUCUAGGAUGGAGCACAAUUUCAUUAAGUUGGCAGGGCAGAAAGGGUGACCAGAAGUAUUAAGGAAAGAAAUAAGCUAUAAUACAUUGUUCAUUAGUAAUUCACAUGCACUUAUAGUGCUCCUGGAGUAUUAUUUAAGUGCCGAAACAUGCUUUAUGUAAAAUAUAUGCUACUGUUUAGUUUCAUGAAUAAGAUGCGUUGUCCUAUAUACAUCAUGUGGUUUCAGAAUGAAAAG